ACGGAAGGCAGCAGUAGGGAAUAUUGCACAAUGGGGGAAACCCUGAUGCAGCGACGCCGCGUGAGUGAUGAAGUAUUUCGGUACGUAAAGCUCUAUCAGCAGGGAAGAUAAUGACCGUACCUGACUAAGAAGCCCCGGCUAACUACGUGCCAGCAGCCGCGGUAAUACGUAGGGGGCAAGCGUUAUCCGGAUUUACUGGGUGUAAAGGGAGUGUAGGUGGUCUGGCAAGUCAGAUGUGAAAGCCCGCGGCUCAACCGCGGGACUGCAUUUGAAACUGUCAGACUGGAGUGCAGGAGAGGAAAGUGGAAUUCCUAGUGUAGCGGUGAAAUGCGUAGAUAUUAGGAGGAACACCGGUGGCGAAGGCGACUUUCUGGACGAUAACUGACGUUGAUGCACGAAAGUGUGGGGAGCAAACAGGAUUAGAUACCCUGGUA
rnacentral:rRNA from 1 species